AUUUACACCCCAUAGGAGCCAGGUGGCCCUGAGCGUAGAUUGUACAAAUAGAGGUCCUUAGCAAGACUGGCAUCUAAUGCAGAGGUCUCCCAGAGCCUCCCUCUUGUGUCUUCCUGUUGGUCUUUGUUCCUUAGCCUUGUAAUGUCAAGUAUAUUCAUUUCUGCUCCUUUCUGUGUUGUCUGUUUCAAAAUAGGUUUAUGUUGCAGUCUCCCUGAAUUUGAUUGAUCAUAAAAUUAUCUAUUUCAUAGGCCAUGACUAUGUAUUUGGAAGCUGAAGGGAAAGGCUGAUGGGCACAGCUGGGGCUUCCCUUUCUAUCCUUGUGUGCUUUUCUUAGAUACUUGGACCACAUUCUCAUCCUCUUCUGAAAAUGGGGAGAAGUUGCUGUUGUCAAGAGCUGUGCUGUCCUUUAUGAUAACCACUAGACACACAUGCUGUUGAUCUCAUGAAAUGUGGUCGGUGUGGCAUGUUGAAAUGAUAAUGUUGGGUUAAGUACAAUAUAUUGUUAAAAUGACCUGUUCAUUCUUACUUUUUAAUGAGGCUUCUGAAACAUUUAAAAUUAUACUUGGAACUGACAUAUUUUCAUUGGACAGUGAGGUCUACACUAGAUGCUCAAGACCUCCUCCAUCCCCAGUGCUUAGUAACUAAUCCUGAUCUCCCCCCAGGAGGCUUCUGGCCACACAGGGCUCUGUGCAUAGAGGUCCAUGGAAAAGCUAGAGAGGAGGCAAGUAGAGAGCCUCGGGCCUUAAGGGGCUUUUGGGAGUGCCUAGUACAGCCCUUUAAAUGGGGAUUACCCCCCAGUCCUUGGAGGCAGAAGUCGUGGCUUGAAUCUGCAGGCAACAUUGUAUUUUUCAGCAUUUAAGGUGGGGACAAGGCAGCCAAUGGGUAAACCCCAGAAGAGUCUUUGGAUGAAGGUUUAGCAGUGCCCCAGUGGAGUUUGAAUGGGCACAGCUGUAGAUAACAGGAGGGUCGUCCUCCUUCCCCUGUCCCUAGCAGUGAUUUCAUAGUCUCCCAGAUGUGCAGAAACCACAGGGCAUGGGAAGGCAGCCAUGCAUCCCAGGUUCGUGCCAAACCCACUUUCAGCAGGUUUGUUUCCUUUGGCCCGAGGGCUCCUUGUUGCCCCUCUCCUGGCUGCACCUCCUCCCCUCAGCCUGUGCUGCUCUCCGUGAGCUUGGAGCUUCUGGGAUGCGUCUUGGCUCAGAGCCAGCGUCUUCUUGGAGAGGCCUCCUGCCCUGGCUCCCUGCCAAGCCUCAGGGCCUCAGAGAGAUUUUCCAGGGAGAUGCUGGGCUCAUACUGUUGUCAAAGGGCAGAGGGGCCUCAGUUAGCCUUCUGCCCUUGGAGGGCCCCUGGCUGUGGGUCUGGGCUUGCCUCCAGCCCCCUUUCCCCCUCAGAAACUCCAGUUUCCUCCCCUGGAAACCCUGGACUGGGUUAAGGGCCUUCCAGCUCCAGUAAGCCUUGAGUUUAUAAAAAGAAGGCCCCUCACAUGAGCCUGGGAGGUAAGGAAGGGGCAUCGAGGAGGCCAUAAUGAGUCAUGACGAUGGGGACAGGAACCAUUUAGUGAGCACUGACUGCCAGGUUCUGUGCGAAUGCUUUGUAUAUUGUAUCUCCUUUGAGGGCCAUCUCUUGGGGAGAAAAAAGAAUAGUAAAUUUGACCAGGGAUUUGCCCUUCUUUUCUAAGCCAAAUGCCAUUUGGGUGACUGCAUGGGGUGUGUUACAGGAGCUACAGCCCUUGCAUAGGAGGGACUAUCAGCCCCCAGUGAGUCCUUGUCUCCCAAAGAAUCAGCCUGGGCUUUGGGAAGCAGCAUGAGUUCAUUUGGGUUGCCAAAGGAUGCCUCUGCAGUGUUUCCUGCUUGAGGCUGGCAGUACACCUGGAGAAUCAAGAUGGGAGGGCUCCAUGCUGGGCCCCUGGGAGCCUUGGUGCGGUGCUAGAGGGGUGAGCAGCAUACCACCCGGUCCGGAUUUAUCUCCUAAUUGUGUGCUCCAUAUCCUUGCUGUGCCUCAGUCUGUAAAAUUAGGGGGUUGGCCCAAGCCUACCAGCCUGCCCACAGUGCCAAGGGAUUGUGGCUGCUCAGGAUGAUGCUGGCCUUUUACUUUCUGCAAUGUUAUAUCCCCCUGAUGUAGCACACAUGAUCUUCUGGAGGAGGGAAGGGGCCCCACAUCCUCUAUCCCAUCUCAUCUUGUCCUUAAGCAGAGAAUGUCAAGCCUUCCUCCUAUCUGCCCAGUUCUGCACCAUAGCUCCUGCUGUCUCCUUAGGUUAGGAGAGGUGGCACAUGCCUCUGAAGGCAUGUUACAUCCUUGAUGAGUGCUGGGGGAAAAGGGAGUAAAGAAACAAGUCUCAAGUUUAUAGCCACCCCUUCCCUUUGAAUCUGCAGCUUCUUUUACCCAGUAUUGAGUCCACUGUUCUCUCUUCUACUGUGGGUCACAGACUCCAAGACCAUGGUGGUGUGAGGCAGAGGCAGUGUGGCCCAGUGGGUAUCCAGGUGGAGGGGUUGGUCUGACCUAAUUCAGAACCCACAGGAUACCCCUUCCCCUCUUCCUCUGAGCCAGUUUUCCCAUCUGCAAAAUUGAGAAUAGUAAUACUUACCUUGUGACACUCAAGAUGCAUCCCCCAUCUUGCUGGUUUGUCACGAGUAAAGGCCAGGUAAGGUGGCCAGCAAGGGACCAGGGUCAGUCAGCUCUCUGUUAGUCACUCUACGAUAAGCUGUGCUGUUUACAGACCAGCCAUAAGCUCUGCAGUGCAGGGAGAACCCCUGACCUCUAGGAGCAGAGAAACUAGCAUUACUAGCCUAAGGCGGCACAAAAAAUCCAAGGGGCAGGUUGUUUUGGUGUUUUGUCUCUGUCCUUGGGAGUUAAGAGAAGAGGAAUUAGAUUGAGGCGGAGAAGCCUCACUGUGCCCAAACAGGUCUUCUAGGCUGUUGAGAGGGCAAGACAGGACAUCCCUACCAAUGGGGAGAACUCUCUGACCAGGACCUUAGAGGUGGAGAUGAAGCGGGAGGAGGAGUCCUGCUGGACUGGGCCUGAGAUUUGGGUAUAGGUCAGGUCAGAUGGUGGAGGAUAAGAAUGACAGAGGUAGGGAGCAGGCUAAGAGAAUUGGUAUGGUCACCAUGUGCAAGAUGGGUGGGCACUGGAGGCUGUCAGGCCUUGUGCUGCCCAGGCCAACCUGAGCUGAGCAGCCACACCCACCCUGUGCCACUCACCUCUUAUGGUUCCUGGCCUGGACGUCAGCAGCCCCAGGGCUGUGCUGUGGAGCCAUUUCCCACUUUGCAAGGGAACUGCAGGGCUCUGAAAUUGGAAGUCUUCCCAUGCCACACUGUAUUUUUUCUUACCACACUCAUUUAUUCAUUCAAUGUCUAUUGACCACACAUUAUGUGUCAGCCUCUGGGCAAGACCCUGGGGAUACAGAGAAGGAAACCACAUUCCCUGGCCCAGCACUUUCGCUUGUGAUGUGGAAAGGCAUAUAUCCAUCUAGAGCUGGAAGGCCGGGCUAGCGGGGGUGGUGUGCUAGAUUAGCAGGCACUCCGGGUCUGACAGUUAUCAUCAGUUUGUGGCUUAUUGGCUUUCCUGCCCCUCUCCAUGUCCCAAGAGCCUGGGAGAACAGGGUCAGAGGCCAUGUCAUGCUUUGCCCGUGAUGACCUUAAGCUGUCGUUUAGCCUCAGCUAGAACUGUAAUUCUCUAGAUUCCAUUGUUUCUGUAUAGAAUUGUGACAUUUCAGUUUCCCUUUCUUCAUUUAAAAAAACACCUUUUUUUUUUUCUUUGAGACAAGGUCUUGCUCUGUCGGCCAGGCUGGAGUACAGUGGCCUGAUCAUAGCUCACUAUAACCUCGAACUUCUGGCUCAAGCAAUUCCCCCGCCUCAGCCUCCAGAGUAGCUGGGACUACAGGCAUGUGCCACCACACCCAGACUUUUAUAUUUAUUUUAUAAAAAUUAAAAAAUGUGUUUUAUUUUGUAGAGACAGGGUCUUUGUUGCCCAGGCUGGCCUCAAACUCCUGGCAUCAAGCGAUCCUCCCACCUGGGCCUCCCAAAGUGUUGAGAUUACAACAUGAGCCACCACACCCAGACUAAAAGGCAGUUUGAUUUUAUAAAUCAAAAUAGCAGUAAUCUAUGGAGAUUUACUUGUGAGAUUGGUAGGAAACAUCUUAAAUGUAAUCAAACAAUAACUUACAUCUUGAUGAAUUCACAUGUAGGUUUCUCUUCCUCAGAAGAAAUCGGAUGCUGUUCAGAGCACCAAGGCUAGAAUUUUACCCUGGUUCUCAUGCUACCUUGCACCCAGGUUGGAUCCUGAGUACAGUUUUUGCUGCAUAUAAGUUAGCAAUGGGGGAUACCCAGCUGCCUCUCUUCAUACAGCUGAGGUUUUGGGGAGUCAUUCUUAUAGCCCCUGGGUUGGGCCUAGUCCUGCAAAUGAAUUCACCAGCCCUAAAGCCCAAAUUGCAGCCUCUGUCAUUCACCUUCCAGGAGUGGAAAGAGCAGUAAGUUUCAUCUUAUUAUUAUUGCUAUUUUGGUGGUUUUGUUGAGGUUGGUGUGUGUAUGUUAGUAAGAUAAAGCUCUCAGAAAUUACAUAGCAUUUGUCAAGGAUAUAAGAGGGACUGUGCCACAUCUGGCUGUAUAGAAGGUGGUUCCAUAUCUUUAAAUAGAGCCCCAGGUCCUUAGCCACCAGAAAGGUUUUCAGGGGAAGUGUGCACCCUCAGCAGCUGCUGCUGGUGGGCAGGAUGGGCACACAUGGAACAGGCUUUCCUCUGUGGCCAGGUGAGAAGCAGGUGGUGAGACACAGAGCAGUGCUGGGCUCUGCUUCUGAAGCCUCCAACCUUUCCUUCCCUAGGAAGCCCCAGAGAGAUUGGUGAGGGUGAUUUCCCAGGAAGACGCAGUGUGCUCUGACUUCUGUGACAGUGAGCAACGGGACCAAUGGAUGUCCAGAUGCUGGCAAUGAGACAUGCUCUGGAGUCAGAAGACAGCGAAAAGAGAAGCAGAAGCCCCGGUGGCAAGAGUCUGAAGCAAGAAGGAUGACUGUAGCCUGUGGAUUGUACUGCAGUAGGAAACUGUCCUAGCAAGGCUCCACCUUGCCCCAGCUUCAAGCUGGAAAGGAGGAGAACAUGAAACAUUGCUUGAAGACAAUGGCCGAGACAGCAGGUCCCACCCUGCACAGCCACCAGCAUCUCUCCCCUCAGCCCUGUCUCCUCUUCUGCAGUUGGGAUCUGCACAUUUAAGCCUGAAAUUGUCCUGUGAAGUGAAGUAUGAUCGGACAGCCUCUUUUCAGCUUUUAUGAAAAUGGAGACAGAGGAAUUGUGGCUCUUGCCAAGGUCACAGGAUUGGAAUACAGAGCCAAGCCACCCCAGGACAUGCAAGAGCCUCAGAAGGGAAAAAGCCCAGCAGGAAGGGAGAACAAGUAGCCUCUGUCCUGAGGUUGUAACAGCCAGGGGCCAGGAUGGAGGAGGAGGACCCCGUAAUCUGCCCAUCUGGGACUUGGCAGGGGACCUGGGAAAAUGUACCCCAACCCAUCCCUCAAGGGCCUUUGCCUUUGGCCCAUUGGCCUAGCAUCUCUUUCUUCACCGUGUCUGUUCUUGUCACACCUAGUCAGGUCUGUUUGGGUCUGAGGUGCAUGGAACGUUCUGGGUAGGCCUCCAGCAAACGGAAGCUCUUCACCGUGUUUCCAGCCUGGGACCAAGGGCAGCACACUGGCAAAGUUGCCAAAGCAAGGGACUCCAGCCUUUUAGGAGUUAAUGACUCCCUCUCCCCAGCUGUCCUCCCCUUGGUGCUCCUCUUCCUCCCUCCUCCUGCUCACAGCAGGCAGGGCCUAGACCCAGGAGCCAUGCUGCUGUGCUGUUGCCAGGGGAGCACGGAGGCAGAUCUGAGCUAUGCAGGGAAAAGGCCCGGCCUGUCAAAGUGUCUGAGAUGAACCGCCGCCGUCCCUGUGCAGCUGGGCUCAGACAUGUCUCAGCUCUUGUUCUGUGCCUGAGAAUGGCGAAACCCAGUGAGGUUCAAGGGCAAACUCGCUAUUCAUUAGUCAGGGGUUCUUGACGUCCCGUCUCUCCCAGGGAUGAGUUCCCCCCUCCUCUUUCUCCCCCUCCUAUGACACAUUCCUGGGUGCCUUUGGUGAGGACUGCAUACCCUCCUCCUGCGUAGCCCCUCUCCAAAGGCCCCUGAAUAAACUCCCCCCAAGGAGACCAGGCAGGGCAGAGACAAUGGCUGCAGGAAAUCAUUCAGGCAGGACAUGCUGGCCUGCCCUCCACCCAGUCCCCCUGUGGGCCCCACUCCCUUCUGAUUCAGGGCACCCUUGGGCCCCCAGCCUAUACAGGCCUGGACAGGAAGAAACCACUGGGAACCACCCUAAGGACAACAUGCUAGUCCAGUGCCAUUCUUCGCUGGCUCUGUGGGUGCCUUUGUGGCCUGUACCGACUGGCUGGCUAAUUUUGUGGUUUCUGUACCAUCACAUGCCUAUUUUAAGACACUGUCCAGCACUGUCGGUUAGGGAGUGUAAAUUGUACAGUAUUUUCUGAAAUGUGGCAGUAUCAAAAUGUAAAAGGCACACAUACUUGGUCACAAACAAAUGGCACUAUUUACUCUGUGGGCAUAUUUGUAAAAGUUGCCAAAGAAUUAUAUACAAGGAUGUUCAUCAGAGCAUUUCUUUUGAAGAGUAAAGAAAUGGACAUGAACCUGUGGUCCGUUCAUAUGGUGGAAUACCUAUGCAGCUGUAAAAAUCAGUGUGGUAGAUCUCUGUAUAUGAGUUGAUGUGGAAGGUUGGCCAGUUCACAUGAUAAGGUGAAUAGAAUAAGUUACAGAACAGGCUGUGGAGUAUGAUCUUAUUUGUAGAUGUUUAAAACUGAGUCAUAAGUAUGCUUAUAUACAGAUCGUUUCUGGAAGUAUGUACUGGAAGGCUACCUCUGGGGAGUGGGGAUGGGGGAAUGCACUCUUCUAUACUGUUAUAUUUUCUUUUAGUGCUCCUAAGGUACUUUUAUUGAAAGAUGUAAAGGGGUUCAAUGUAAUAGGCUGAACUUCUGUCAACUAAGUUGGCGUGGGUGCUUUAAGAGGGUGGUAGUGAUGUUGCUGGAGAAAGUAUCCCACAAUCACUGGUGGCUUCAGCCACGGGCCAUUUUGGGGCCUAAUAAUCACAUAUCAUCAUGGUUGCUAGUGUUAACCGAAAACCUACUAAGUGCCAGGCUUACUGUCUCUGGGUCUUGCUUACGUGGAUGUCAUUUUUCCAGUUUCACCAAAUCGAAAGAGGUUAAUUGGUUUGUUGGAGCUCCUUUGCAGGUGAAGGGCAGAGCCAGGAGCUUGGCUAGGGACAGGGGAGGUGGGUGGGGGAUGCUGGAUAGGUCUUGGCUCCCAGUUUCCUUCUGGGCAGACAUUGCCCCUCUGCCCUGAGGACCUGCUUGUUUGGGGGAAGAGGCCUUUAGAGGCACCAGGGUCAUGCCAGGUGUUGGAUAUGGUGAACUGGGAAGUGCUCCCAUCUGGCCACAGCCCAGAAGUAUCACCAUGCUGGGGGAUGGGGAACAGGGCUGUGAAUGGGCCUAUUUGCAUAAGCAGCAUGUGUCUGGAGAGAAAGACAUCACAGAGCAGAAGAGUGCGGGUGCCCAGGAGUGCAAUUGCCACCCCUACUUCAUCCCUGAAAGAGUAAAUGGCCUGGAAAGUGUCUCUGAGAGGUAAUGCUGCACACCACCCUCCCUGGGGGCAGGGUCAGGCUACACCUGCCUUAGGUCAGGGGCUGCAGCAGCCUGCAGAGCUCUCCGUAGGGCCUCAGUAGCCUGGGAGGGAGCAGGGGCAGGGGGCAGGGAAAGAGGCGUAAUGGGGCUGUCCAGAGGGGCCUGGGAAACCUGGUCCCUGAGGCCUGGGCACAGCUACAAUCACUUCAAAUUGGCUGUGGGGCCAGUGGACUGGGAAGGAAAAAAGCAAUAAGAGUGACCAAGUGCAGAAGGCUGUCAGGUCCCAGGUCACAUGCCUUAGUGCAGUGACUCCUCAUCAUUUUAUGGGGUGUGGGUGUCAUUGGUACACCCAUUUUACAGAUGAGGACACCGAGGCCCAGAAAAGUUAAGUUACGUGUCCUAAGUCACACAGCUUGUAAGUGCCAGAACUGAGAUCAAAACCAAGUCUCUUUGACUUUAAAGUCUGUACUCUGACCCCAAAGAGAUCCUGUUUGGUUUGGCCACUUAUAGGAGGUCCCUAAAGCUGCAGACUCCCCUUGCCAGCACCCACAUAUAGAGACAUUAACCCUUCCCCUGCAGGGUCACCUCAAAUAGUCUUUUAGCUGGGCUUCUCCUGCAAUUCCACCUAAUGCCAUCCCCUGGGUUUUGCCCAAACCUGAACUGGGCAGUGGGGUGAGAGGGGUUUACAGAGCCUCAUACAGAUAGGAGCCCAUGGCUGCUGGUCAUCUGCAUUCCUGCAGGAUUGGCUGUUCCUUGGGGUCCUUGGCAGGAAAAUGAGGAUUGCUCCGAGGCCUGCUCCAGUGCUUCCCAGAGGCUGGCCUGGUGUGGGGCUCUGGGAAGGCUGAGGCUGGAGAAGCAGAAGUAGGAGGGCAGAGAUGGCACUCAGGUAGCUUGAAUCACCAAGACCCUUCCAAGCCCCACAGGUUCUGAGGGAGUACUAGGGCCAGCUCUGGGAGAGGUCUCUUUCUAUGCUGUGAACCCCCUGCCUUUCUUGCAGCCUACAAUGAAUAAAUUUUCUUUGCAAAGGC